rnacentral:rRNA from 1 species
GAUUACGGCCAUACCACACUGACAAUGCCCGAUCUCGUCUGAUCUCGGCAAGCUAAGCAGAGUUGGGCUGGGUCAGUACUUGGAUGGGUGACCGCCUGGGAAUACCCGGUGCUGUAAGCA